GACGAACGCUGGCGGCGUGCUUAACACAUGCAAGUCGAACGGAAAGGCCCUGCUUUUGUGGGGUGCUCGAGUGGCGAACGGGUGAGUAACACGUGAGUAACCUGCCCUUGACUUUGGGAUAACUUCAGGAAACUGGGGCUAAUACCGGAUAGGAGCUCCUGCUGCAUGGUGGGGGUUGGAAAGUUUCGGCGGUUGGGGAUGGACUCGCGGCUUAUCAGCUUGUUGGUGGGGUAGUGGCUUACCAAGGCUUUGACGGGUAGCCGGCCUGAGAGGGUGACCGGCCACAUUGGGACUGAGAUACGGCCCAGACUCCUACGGGAGGCAGCAGUGGGGAAUAGUGCACAAUGGGCGGAAGCCUGAUGCAGCGACGCCGCGUGCGGGAUGACGGCCUUCGGGUUGUAAACCGCUUUCGCCUGUGACGAAGCGUGAGUGACGGUAAUGGGUAAAGAAGCACCGGCUAACUACGUG
rnacentral:rRNA from 1 species